rnacentral:rRNA from 1 species
GUCCUUAUGAUGUUAUAUGAGGUCUGGCCUGCCCACUGAGUUGUUGAAGGGCCGCGGUAUUUUUGACCGUGCGAAGGUAGCAUAAUCACUAGUCUUUUAAUUGGAGGCUUGAAUGAAUGGUUGGACGAAAAACAUACUGUUUCGAAUAAAAAAUUUGAAUUUAACUUUUAAGUGAAAAGGCUUGAAUAAAUUAAAAAGACGAUAAGACCCUAUAAAUCUUUACAUUUUAUUUUAUAUUUUUAAAAUUGUUAAGUGUUGAAAAAAAUAUAAAAUAUAUGUUGUGUUGGGGCAACAAUUAUAUAGUAAGAUUAGCUGUUGAUAAAAUUAAACAAAUUUGUUUGUUGGUUGUUGUUAGAUCCUUUUUAAAGAUUUAAAGAUUAAGUUACUUUAGGGAUAACAGCGUUAUUUUUUCUGAGAGUUCUUAUCGAAGAAAAAGAUUGCGACCUCGAUGUUGAAUUAAAAGAUCUUUUUGAUGUAGCAGUUGAAUAAGAGAGUCUGUUCGACUUUUGAUUUUUU